UACGUAGGGUGCAAGCGUUGUCCGGAAUUAUUGGGCGUAAAGAGCGUGUAGGCGGCCCGAUUAGUCCGCUGUGAAAGUCCAGGGCUCAACCCUGGAAUGCCGGUGGAUACUGUCGGGCUAGAGUCCGGAAGGGGCGAGUGGAAUUCCUGGUGUAGCGGUGAAAUGCGCAGAUAUCAGGAGGAACACCAAUGGCGAAGGCAGCUCGCUGGGACGUGACUGACGCUGAGACGCGAAAGCGUGGGGAGAAAACAGG
rnacentral:rRNA from 1 species